rnacentral:ncRNA from 2 species
UUUAACACCGUUCUCCGAGCCAUAAUACCUAAAGAAUUAUGCUAUGGUAAUAUGGCCGUUAGGGUUAACCGGGAAACCGGUUAGCCUCCCCUGUUGGAAAGGAGAACAUUACCCACCUGU